GAAUUGAAGAGUUUGAUCAUGGCUCAGAUUGAACGCUGGCGGCAGGCCUAACACAUGCAAGUCGAGCGGAAACGGCAGUAUUGAAGCUUCGGUGGAUUUACUGGACGUCGAGCGGCGGACGGGUGAGUAACGGCUGGGAACCUGCCCUGACGAGG
rnacentral:rRNA from 1 species